rnacentral:tRNA from 1 species
GCUCUGGUGGCGGAAUUGGUAGACGCGCAGCGUUCAGGACGCUGUGGGCUUUAGCCCGUGGGAGUUCAAAUCUCCCCCAGAGCA